AGCAGUAGCCUGCAGUGCUGCAUUUAACCACUGCGCCACCUUGGCUCUUACCCGGGGUCUUAAAGUAAAAUGCUUCUGCCGGGAUGCUUGUUAGCUUUUCCUUUUCUCUCUCCUCCAAGAUUAAAGAAGGGGAAAGAGUUACAGAAAGCACAGGACAUCAAAGAAGUCAAGCAAAGCAUCCACCUCAUCCAGGCCCCCCACGCAGGCAAAGCCAAGCUGAUGGAGGAAAAGAUGGUCCAGGUGCUACAGGACACGGUGCCCAUGGAAGAUUCUUGAAGGGUUAUGUUCUUUGGGUUCUGGCCUAUUUAAUUUGGGGGGAGGGGCUGUGACUAGUGUUUAUAUUUCAUGAGCUGAAGCUUCAAGGGGAAAAUCUGUAAAUGAAGUAUAGAAAUUAGAAAUAAAAUAGGGGCAAAAAAUGAUGAUUUUGUUCAAAGAUUUUUCAACUAUUUAAGGCCAAUUAGAUGAUUAGAGCUGCUGUCUGCAUAGGAAUUAGUUAGCCUAGUGGAUAGUUAUUACUUCCAAGAAGCAGGAAAUAGAGUGCUGCGACAUGAUUGGGCCAUCUCGGGCGUCUGGACUCCGCUUUUAAAAAAGCAGACAAUUUUUUUUUUGAAGCUGUGCAAGGAAAUGCAGAGGCUCAAAAUGCCAUGGCUACUUUAGGCUCCCAGCUGCACCGUUGAAUAUUGCACCCUGAUGGGGUGCUGUGGUUUCUGACAUAUGUGGAAAAAGCACCAAACAGCUCCUUGGAAUUCAAAACAAGCCCUACAUGGAGGCGUCUUCACCACCUGGAAGGGCAGAUCUUGGUCAUAACUCCAUGUCGGUCUGCCUGCCAAGCGAUGACUGGGCAAACGUGAGUCACGCAGCUGCCCUGGCAAUCCCCAGCUGUAAUGGGACUUCAUUGGAGGAAGCAGAGGUGGUGGAUAGCCGGGGAAUAGGCACACAUUUAGCUGCAUCCUGCGAAAAGAAGCCCCCAGGGUUCCUGCUUUGGGCUGGUCUUUGUUCUUGGUGGUGAGAGCAGCAGGCAAUCGGCACGAAGCAAAGAAACGGCUCUGCUUCAGCUUCCUGUUAUUCCCAAAAUCGAAACACAAAACCAGGAAAAAGGGAUCCUGAGGCAUCUGUUAAAGAUCCACUUUUGUACAGGUAAUCCUCAAUUUAAAACAGUUCAUUUAGUGACAAUGAAGUUACAACAGCACUGAAAAAA